rnacentral:lncRNA from 1 species
AGUCCUUGAGCUUGCAAGGCAGGUGGCAGAGCCACUAAGCUAAAUCCCUGGCCCUCAAAGCUGCUCUUAAGCCAGACUGUGACACCUGAUCCUCUUACAACUACAGACCUGACCUGGCAUCUGCAGGAGCCAGGUGCCUUGAGGGGUAGCCUGGUGGACAGGUGAGGCUCACCCUGGUUCAGGUGCACUCCAGGAUCUAGCUGCUUGGCCACCUCCUUGGAUUGGGUCAGGCGUGGGCUCAGGACCCCUCUUCCCUGAAGAAACAUGUUCCUGAGGACCUGAAGAGUCCCAGGGCAGAAGGCAGGCCUGGCCGGGGUGGUCAGGAUUCACAACCCUUCUCGACCUGACACACAGAGGCUUUGGGCACUGGAGAAGCUGCUAGUCCCACUGGGAGGGCAGGGCUUUGUCCCUCAGCUGGGCGCUGGGGCCGCAGGGGACAGCUGAAGCACUUAUCACCCCAGUGGGCACCAAGCCCAGAGGGGUGUGGUCUUCCUGAUCAUUGGAGGCCUCUCUGGGUAACCCUAGGGUGGGCUGAUCUUCAGCAAGCAUGGGAGCAGGUGCUGUCACUCUCCUAGACGGACUCUCAGCUCUGCUUAGACAGAGGCAGGUAGGAGGGCAGACAGAUGCUAGUGUAGGACCAUGGCAUAUGCACCUGACCUCCCAAAUGCAGGUCUCUUCUGGAGGUCUGGACUCAGCACUGUGCUUGCCCUACAGGGACCCUUAUCACCCCCACAAAGAAGCAGGGCAGCUGGGCCAAGCCCAACCACCUCAGCGCUCUAGGUGCCCCCACUCCGGGGUCUGAGGCUGAUGUCCCCGUUGGGCCACUUACCACUGGGCCCCAGGGCUGGCAGUGCCUGCUGCCUGUGGGAAAGGCCAGGCUCUGGCCAGCUACUGCAGCCUUGACCAGUGAGCUGAAUGCAGAUGUCCUUAAACUGCUGUUUGUGGUGGGGCCAGCACAAACUGGUAGAAGCCUGUUGGGGAGGGUUAAGUCCAGACCUAUAGAUUCCAUGCCCUUCAGCCACAGGGCUGGGGACCCUGGGGACCAUGAGCUGCCCACUCGGCUCCUUCCAGAAAGCAAGAACAACUUGGGGCCGUGGUAGCCUCCUGCCCAUUCUGGCAGCCCCCACCCACUGCACAGCUGUGGCCCUGUCCAUGGCAGAGCCUUCUGCAGGCUAGGGCACCUUGGAGCAGGGUGUGCUUCUUGGGGUCUUCAGCAAAGAGGCAACUGAGGCAGUCCAUCAGUGCUUUGAGGUCUCCCGGAACCCUUGUAGACCUUCAGGGCCUGGGUAAAGGUGUCAAAGCUAGCUUGGCUCAGUGUCUGCUUCACAGCCACCAUGAACAGCUUGGCUGCGCUCUUCCUGUGUACCAGCUUCUGGCUUCUCCUGAUGGACACAUGCCCAAGGCCACUGUCAGGACCAGCCCUGUCCCUCCUGCCCCCAGGGCAGUGCAGACCCCAAGACUCCCAGGGCCUGUAGGUGCUGCUGCCUGGUGGGGACAGAGGGUGGAGGCCCCUGGAGGAGAAGCUCAGUCCUGGAGCAUGGGUGGCCUCGGCCUGGCUGGGGUCACACCAGAGGCAGCCAGGAGGCCUGUAGAACCCACAAGUUCUCCUCCCCAAGGCAGGUACAGCUAGAGCUGAGCUCUGGAGAACCAGCAGCUCACAGCAAGGGCGUGCUCCACAGACUCCAGCCCACUUCUGCGUGCCUCAGACCCAGAGAAACCAAAGCAAAGAUGGCACAGCCAGCCCCCACCUUGCCCUGCCCAGCCCACAGAGGGCCUAGCCUUUUAGCAGCCAGUCCACUUCCUGCAGGCACCAGCCCUAGCUGGGCACUGCCUGGUUCUUCCCAGAAGCUGAGGGACAUGGACAAAAGCAACCACACUUGGGGCUUUCCAGCAGGCAAAGGGGCUUCCUGCCUCAGCCUGUUAAUCAGUUGCUUUCAUCUGAGACUGGGGACAUUCUGUACUGCCUCACACAGGCCAGAGCUACAACUCAGGAAAAGCCAGGGCCAAGAGGACAGUGGUCCACCAUCGCUGGGAGAAUCAUGGAUGGCUGCAGGCCCUGAACAGAAUGUACCCAGGGGCUGGGCCAGAUUCUGGCUGGGAAAGAUGGGCUCUCACGGAAGGAACUGCAAACAAACUCCCUGGGCUUUCAACAUCUCAGCUACCCAGGAAGUCCAUUUCCAUGGGUCUGCUCUGGCUCACACCCCUGCUUGGUUGGGGGCCACCUGUGCAGGAGCCAGAUUUCCAGACUGUGCGUGAGCGGCCAGGAGACUGCAGAGAGGGCUCACAUACCUGGUGGCUGACCAGCCUGACCUUCUUCCUUCCUCCUCUCUGCUCAUCAGCCAGCCUCUUCUCACACUGAAGGGACAGGGUAGACCGACCAACUGCCUAAAGGGGACACAGCUGUGGUCUCAACCCAACCCUGAGAGUACCUGUGACAUCCCUCGGCUCCCCACGAUCCCUGGUAAGAGCCUGAACAGAAGCCGGUGUGGGAGGAGGUCUUGCCAGACCUCCACACCAUCUUCUGAGUUAAGCCACCAGCCCUCAUGGCUUGUAGGUAGCGUGUGACAGCAGCCACAAGGACAGUUUUGUGCUAAGUGUGGGCUGUGAGCACAGGCUCAGCUCAGGGGCCUCCCAAGCAGGCAUGGAGGGGAAGGAAUGGCUCCCAGGAAUAAGCAGGAAGCAGGGAGGAGCUCCAAGUGAAGCUCAGAAAACUAUGGGCUAUUAGGCAAAGGCCAUAGGUAAAGGGGAGAAAGGAACUUGGGGCCCAUCCCACAGACCAGGCCCUAAGAAAGACCAGCUCUGGGUGAGCAGGUGGCAGGAGGCACCACACUUGUGGGCUGUGCAGGCUGACCUGCCGGGAGCCAGUAUAGUGGGAGCUGAGGGUCAGGGUGCACCUCUCUGGGUAGCAAGUGGCCUGGGGCCACGGGCACAGCAUGACCGGGGGUCUAUCUGUCCACCUGCCCACUGGGAAGGGAACCAAGGAGUAAGAAAGGUGCCAAGGCCAAAUGGGUAGGGCCUGGGCUGGCCUCAGGAGUGGAGGGGCCAUGUCAUCCUCAGGCAUCUCCCUCCCUGCCCUAAACCACCUCCUUCCCAGGGUAGGCCUCAUCCUCCAGGUGCCCCAGCCUUCUGCUCGCUGUGCUCCAGGGCAGCCAGCAGCCCCAUGGGCCUCCACGGGGCUGUGACUGGCUCCUGCUCAUACUCCACACACAGGUUGCUCUCUGGGUCCUCCACAGCCGGCGAUCCUGUAGGAGCAUUGGUAUGGCAGCAAAGCUUACCGGAGGCCAGCCUGCAGGAAGCAACUAGUCCUGCCAGGGAUUUUUGAGGAGAAACAUCCAUUAAUGGGAAGGCGGAGAACCCGCAUUCCCAGGAGGAGAGGAGGCUGCACCCAGCCCAUACCUGCUCUCUAGGCCCAGGAUCUGCAGCUGACCUUGGGGCCUACACAGGUAAGGGAAGAGCAUGUUCCUGGGAGCUGCUCCUGACACAUGGACCUGUUCAUCUGCAGUGAUUGAUCAGAAUACUGAAAGCAGUUUGCCUGGCCAGAACAGGGCCUCCCACCAUAGGAGCCAAGGAUGUUCCAGGGCAGACAGCCUAACAGUCACUGUGGACGGUACAGGGGCUUGGGCAGCCUGGGAGUCUGGACUCCACAGAGAACCAGUGGUCAUACCCAGGCCAUCACCCUGGGCAGCAGACACUCUGGGAGCACUCACCGAAUGGUCACUCCACUCAGACUCCUCCUGCCCAUCCUACCAUGACCUCAGGUGCCUGGAGGCACAGCAUGGCCAGAAGUACUCAAGAGGAAACCUCACACGGUUCCACACAGUAUAGUGCCUCCUGGGCCUGUGUCCUCCAGGGCUCCUGAGGUCUCAGUCAGGGCUCCUAAUGGCCUGCUUCCAAAACCUAGCAAGGUUCAACAAAAGGAAGAUGGUGCCCAGGGCCUCCAAACAGCACCUUACCCAACC